rnacentral:rRNA from 1 species
CCCCUAGUAACUGCGAGUGAAGCGGGAAAAGCUCAAAUUUAAAAUCUGGCGGUCUUCGGCCGUCCGAGUUGUAGUCUGGAGAAGUGCUUUCCGCGCUGGACCGUGUACAAGUCUCUUGGAACAGAGCGUCAUAGAGGGUGAGAAUCCCGUCUUUGACACGGACUACCAGUGCUUUGUGAUGCGCUCUCAAAGAGUCGAGUUGUUUGGGAAUGCAGCUCAAAAUGGGUGGUAAAUUCCAUCUAAAGCUAAAUAUUGGCGAGAGACCGAUAGCGAACAAGUACCGUGAGGGAAAGAUGAAAAGCACUUUGGAAAGAGAGUUAAACAGUACGUGAAAUUGCUGAAAGGGAAACGAUUGAAGUCAGUCGCGUUGACCAGGACUCAGCCUUGCUUUUGCUUGGUGCAUUUUCUGGUUGACGGGCCAGCAUCGAUUUUGACCGUCGGAAAAAGGUUGGGGGAAUGUGGCACCUUCGGGUGUGUUAUAGCCCUCAGUCACAUACGGCGAUUGGGAUCGAGGACCGCAGCACGCCUUUAUGGCCGGGGUUCGCCCACGUUCGUGCUUAGGAUGCUGGCGUAAUGGCUUUAAACGACCCGUCUUGAAACACGGACCAAGGAGUCUAACAUGCCUGCGAGUGUUUGGGUGGAAAACCCGAGCGCGUAAUGAAAGUGAAAGUUGAGAUCCCUGUCGCGGGGAGCAUCGACGCCCGGACUUGAACUUCGGUGAUAGAUCUGCGGUAGAGCAUGUAUGUUGGGACCCGAAAGAUGGUGAACUAUGCCUGAAUAGGGUGAAGCCAGAGGAAACUCUGGUGGAGGCUCGUAGCGAUUCUGACGUGCAAAUCGAUCGUCAAAUUUGGGUAUAGGGGCGA